UUGACAGUUAGAUAUGUAAAUUUUUUCCCUUUCCAAAAAUGUUUAAAAAAGUACGGGGUGCCAGUUGAAAUUUUAAAGUUGAGGUGGCUAGCGAUUAAGGAAUGAAAGCUAAAAUGUAACUAAUGUUGGUUUUAAACUUAAGCAUGGUAAAAUGUAUUACAAUGUAUGAAGCAGAAGUGUGGGAAAGAAAGGAAUACGAAGAGGUACAUAAUUUAGACAAUGGAGCAACAAUCCUAAGCAAAAGCUUUAAAACUCUGCUUUAAUUACGAGACAUUGAGGACUACUAGUUUCAGCAGGAUGGUGCUUCUUAAAAAUGUGAUACCUUCCAAAAUCUUCGGACAAUUUUGACUAUAAGUAGAGGAAAUAACCCAACACAUACUAUUAACGACUGCGAUAAAUGAUUUUCUUAAGUAGUUUGUGACAGAUUUCGGCUCUUAAAAACUAAAAAUGUCCUCUGUUGAUGAAAUGAUGGUAGACCAAGAGGAGACGCAGACCAAGAAUUAUGUUUUGUUAACUUGUUAGAAAAUAAUUAUAAAAUUAUAUGAGAUAAAUGAAUGACGCCUGUAAUUAAGCAAAAAACAAGGCGCAUUAAAACAAUUUGCAAAACACUACAACUUUAAUCGGCAAUAAACAUGUUUAGAAAAGUGGAAGAGAUCGCAAAAUAAAAUGUCUACGUAUAGAUAAGGCCAAAGAAAAUUGUGAAGUAGCUGAGAAACUCAAUCGAAAUGUGGUUGAAAAGACGAAACUAAUUUAAUACAACUAUUAAUACAACUUGUUAUUUACAAAAUAGGAGUCCUGUACCGCUAAAUAAUAAAACUCCAAAAGAAUUUUGGAUAGGAUGAAAACCAGUUUAUUAAGAAUUUUUGUAUGUAUGUGAAACA